GAAGCAGACCCAGGAGAAACUGUCUGUUGAAGACCCCCCCCCACCCCCCACCAAGCUGCCCACCAGAGGCCAAGCUGUACUUGGUGUUUGCCAACAUGCUGUAAUUUCCAGCCUGGUUGCUGUAGCCACAGAGGAAUUUUCAAGGACAAGAACCAGUGCUGGUAAAACUGUGGUCUCUGUGGUUUUCCAUACCGGCUCUCGGCAAGGAUUUUCAAGAAAGGAAUACCAUCUCCAAAUCAUGAUGUGCCAAUAAGCUCCAGUUAGCUGCGGCCUUUUCCCCAGGCGGUAGUCCUGCAAUCUGAAUCCAGGAGAUGCAGCUCUGAAUCCAAUAUUUCAGAAGAAUGAAGAUGAAGCAGACCCAGGAGA